CCUCAAUGUUUCAUUUGACGUUUCAGAAAUCGUAAUGAAAUUUGUGAUUUUCAACAACUGUGACAGUCGUGAGAAUGAACUUGUGAAUCGCGAAUGACGCACGAGAGCUCUCCAAGCGACUUGCUUGGUUCAAAUUAAAUGAAUGGCAAGGAUCGUCGUUAGCAACAUGGUUAGCAAGGUUACAAGAAGAGACAUUGGUCAGAAAUAACCAGAUGAAACCAACGAACAUUUCUUGAUUGGAUAAAUGCGUGUUUUUGUGCGUUGUAUUGAUAAGUGGAUAAAAAUUGCUGCUAUUACAAAUAAGUGCUAUCAAGAUUGAUCGGUUUGCUGCUGGACCAAACUUCGAGAAAGAGACGUAAGAUGAACACCGAUGGACCCGGCGUAACGUCAGUAGAAAUGUGCGUAAGACGCGCAUCAAUGUGAUUCAGAAUUGAAGACGUCUACAUCAGAUUAAUCGCGUGAAUGAUCGCUAAAUACCACUCCCAAAAUGUUAAUAAAAGAGUAUCGGAUACCUCUGCCUUUGACGGUGGAGGAAUAUCGCAUAGCUCAACUUUAUAUGAUAGCGAAAAAAUCUCGCGAGGAGAGCAAAGGUGUCGGAAGUGGUGUUGAAAUUUUAGUCAACGAACCUUACACCGAUGGCCCAGGAGGAAAUGGACAGUACACUCGUAAAAUAUACCACGUUGGUAGUCAUUUACCUGCUUGGUUCAAAAGUUUGCUGCCUAAGUCUGUAUUAACUACGGAAGAAGAAGCUUGGAAUGCUUAUCCAUACACAAAGACACGUUACACUUGUCCGUUUGUUGAAAAAUUUUCUAUAGAAAUUGAGACCUACUAUUUUUCUGACAAUGGAUAUCAGGAGAAUGUGUUCAAAUUGUCAGGAAGUGAUUUGAGGAAUCGAAUUGUAGAUGUCAUUGAUUUGGUCAAAGAUCAACUAUACGGUGAAUAUGUGAAGGAGGAAGAUCCGAAAUUAUACGUAUCUGAAAAAACUGGACGUGGACCACUGACGGAAUCAUGGCUGGAAGAAUACUGGGCAGAUGUCAAGGGGAAGUCUCAGCCAACCCCGUCAGGAAAAUCCUUGAUGUGCGCCUACAAAAUAUGUCGAGUAGAAUUUCGUUAUUGGGGAAUGCAAACGAAGUUGGAAAAAUUUAUUCAUGAUCAUGCGCUCCGAAAAACAAUGGUACGCGCUCAUCGUCAAGCUUGGGCCUGGCAAGACGAAUGGCAUGGCUUAACCAUGCAAGACAUAAGAGAAAUCGAACGGCAAACACAGUUAGCAUUACAGCGUACGAUGGGACUCGGAGAAUCUGGAGAAGAAGCUGCGGACGACGAAGAUCAAGUUGGAUCAAGUAGCACAGUAACCACACCUCAAGAUAAGGACGUUGCUAAAACUUUAGCUGCUACUUUGGGAAGUAUAGAGAAAAAUGAAGAUCCUCAGAGCCCGCCAUCCCUACGGAAGCAAUCCGAUAUUCCAAUUAUUAAUACAGCCAUCAGUUCAGAAGGCGAGAUAAGCCCUGAAGAUUCACCUACAGAAUUAACGGCACCAAGACUUGUUGAUGAGAGACAUAUUGUUAAAAAGGCGUGGAAGAGAAGCAACCCUUCACUGCAUUCGCCGAGUUCAGCCAAAAGUUUCGAUAUUCAAGUAGCCAAUUGGCGAAUGGAGAGUAUUGUUAGAGAAUCCGAAUCUGGUAGCGAGGAUGAAUAUUUUGAUUGUCAAGCUGGGUUCAUAAUACCUACUAUCCACAAAGAGGACUUUGGAGAUAGUACGUCAUUAGCUAAAUGGAGUUCUUUGGAUCUUCUAGCUGAAGAGGAUGACACCGUCUCUCCCACCGCCAUAACGAGCAAUAAGCAAGAAGAUACAAUAUUCUCUCAGUCAUAUUUGCAACGUGUUGCGAGCGAGAGAAGUAACAAACGGUUAUACAUUAGAUCUUCAGCAAGUAUCGACGUAUCCUGUCCUGCUUCACCGCAACAUUCUCCAACUAAUCAACCAUGUAGGACAACCGUUCUACUAAUCGUGUUACAUGCUGGAAGUGUGCUAGAUGCUAACGUUGACUUGACAGCCAAAAAAUCUGACAUCACAACAUUUAAAGGGGCAUUCGAAUCUGUUAUGAGACAACAUUAUCCCAGCAUGGUUGGCCACAUUGCAAUUAAAUUUGUUUCUUGUCCCUCAAUAUGCACCGAAGGUCUCUGCAUAUUGUCAAGUUUAAGCCCAUACAGCUUCGACAUGUCACCAUCUUGUACCGAUGCUCCACAAGUUACACAUGAUACAAUUCCUAUAGGAUCGAUUCCAUUGCUGGCCAGCUCUUCUCCAGAUUAUCAGGAUGCAGUAUCGCGAGUGGUUAGUGGGGCGAAUCAAGUAUAUCAAGAGUUUAUCAAAAGUGAAGAGGGUCGGGGAUUUAAUGGACAAAUAUGCUUCGUUGCUGAUUCAGUCGGUUCGAUAUUAGGCUACGAUACAUUAUGCCGGUCCUCGCAAUACCAAUCUCGGCAUGACAGUGAAAAUAGUAUUUUAGAAAAUGACAAUCAAGUCGGAGAAGACAAUGAUGGAAAUGAAGAUGGUAAACAUUUAUCAGCUCCCUCUCCUAGGAGAAGAUCAUCUUCGACGAGCGAUAAUUCCCACCACUGCAAAUUAGACUUCGAGGUUGGUGAAUUUUUCAUGUUCGGAAGUCCCUUGGCUCUUGUCUUAGCAUAUAGAAAAAUAUCCUGUACCGGAGACAAAAAUAGUAACAUUCCUAGGCCAUUGGUAAAUCAAGUUUACAAUUUAUUUCAUCCAACCGAUCCAGUGGCUGCUCGCCUAGAACCUUUGAUUUCUGCAAGAUUUUCACUUCUCCCUCCAGUUAACGUUGCUCGAUAUCAAAAGUAUCCGCUCGGAAAUGGGCAACCAUAUCACUUAUUGGAGGCAGUCCAAACUAAUCCGCAAUUAUUUGUCGAUGGUUUGAACGUGCCCAGUACACCUAUGUCACACAUGCGAAGAAUGUCAGAGAUAUCACUACAAAGUACUAUAUCUGGAGUUGUUGAUAAUUUACCACUGCAAGCGAUAUCAGCCCUGACGCAAAAAUGGUGGGGAAAUAAAAGGAUAGAUUAUGCUUUGUACUGUCCCGAGGGUCUCGCGAAUUUCCCAACAAAUGUCUUACCUCAUCUAUUCCAUGCCAGUUACUGGGAGUCUUUCGAUGUGAUUGCUUUCAUACUACGUCAACUCGGAAGAUUUGAUCUACCCAUACUAGGUGGUGAAGAAAAAGAUCUUACAUGCUUCCGUCCAGGGCAGCCUAGAGAAAAAUGGAACAAAAAACGAACGUCCGUUAAACUUAAGAAUGUAGCCGCGAAUCAUAGAGCAAAUGAUGUUAUAGUGAGAGAAGGUGCUCCUCAAGUAUUAAUUGCAAGGUUUAUGUAUGGAUUCUUGGACAUGAUAGCAUUAACAGGAGAAAAAGUAGAUAUACAUAUUAUGAAAGAUGCGCCAGCAGGUGAGUGGACAUUUUUGUCGACUGAAAUAACGGAUAAAACUGGAAGAGUAGCUUAUAAAAUUCCUCCCGAAAAAGCAUUUGGCUAUGGGAUGUAUCCCGUGAAAAUGGUUGUGCGGGGUGAUCACACGUCAUUAGAUUUUUUUAUGGCUGUGAUACCACCGAAAACAGAAUGUGUUGUAUUCAGUAUUGAUGGCUCCUUCACCGCUAGUAUGUCAGUUACGGGAAGGGAUCCAAAAGUCAGAGCCGGUGCCGUCGAUAUAGUGAGGCAUUGGCAAGAAUUGGGCUAUCUCAUUAUCUAUAUCACCGGAAGACCUGAUAUGCAACAGCAAAAAGUCGUAUCCUGGCUGUCUCAACAUAACUUUCCUCAUGGCUUGGUAUCAUUCGCCGAGGGAUUAUCUACCGACCCUCUCCGACACAAGGCUGCAUAUUUAAAUACGUUAAUACAGGAACAUGGAGUGUUGAUUCAUCUAGCUUAUGGCAGUAGCAAGGAUAUAAGUGUCUACACCGCAAUAAACCUUAAACCAAAUCAAAUUUUCAUAGUUGGAAAGGUGUCUAAGAAGCAUCAUGCUCUCGCUACUGUGCUUCAUGAAGGCUAUGCUGCUCAUUUAAGUGCUUUAACAGCACUUGGCGGAUCAAGACCUGCACAGGGUAAUGCUCGCAUGGUAAUCCCCAGAAGUCAAUUUGGGCUCCCUGGUCAGAAUGCAUCAUUACGCCGGAGAAGUAACGACACAGCAGUCAACUCACCGGCGCGCAACAGCGUGUACUCAAAGCGGAAAGUCUACCUUAGUCACAUCUAACACAAGCCUAUUAUCUAUCUGCAAUUAUCUUACUCACAUUGGUACCUGCUAUGAAGAUAUAUCGUGCGCAGCGUAGCUACUAUUUGCUCCCACCAACAGCUGCCUCUACCCCAUAAUCUGAUUUACAGUUUUACUAUCAGCCAUACUUAUGUCCAGGAUUUGUGGUUAAUCUGCCGAUUGAUUAUCUAUCGCAAGAAUAAACUCUUUGUUCUUACUCCCGAAAAGACUGGUCUCACUUUAUCGAGAAAGCUCUUUCAGAUCAGCAAAACGUGCGAUAUCACAUCCGUUGGCUGGUGAAGUAUGCGUUUUGGAAAGAAGUACGAGUGUUGG
rnacentral:misc_RNA from 1 species